rnacentral:rRNA from 1 species
CUUUCCCUCUUCCCUCCUGCCUUACACAUGCAAGUCGAACGGUAACAGGUUAAGCUGACGAGUGGCGAACGGGUGAGUAAUGUAUCGGAACGUGCCCAGUCGUGGGGGAUAACUGCUCGAAAGAGCAGCUAAUACCGCAUACGACCUGAGGGUGAAAGCGGGGGAUCGCAAGACCUCGCGCGAUUGGAGCGGCCGCUAUCAGAUUAGGUAGUUGGUGAGGUAAAGGCUCACCAAGCCGACGAUCUGUAGCUGGUCUGAGAGGACGACCAGCCACACUGGGACUGAGACACGGCCCAGACUCCUACGGGAGGCAGCAGUGGGGAAUUUUGGACAAUGGGCGCAAGCCUGAUCCAGCCAUGCCGCGUGCGGGAAGAAGGCCUUCGGGUUGUAAACCGCUUUUGUCAGGGAAGAAAAGGUUCUGGCUAAUACCUGGGACUCAUGACGGUACCUGAAGAAUAAGCACCGGCUAACUACGUG